CUCUGGUCUCACCGUGUCUCACUGUGUCGUGAUAUCUACAUCUGGUGACCCCGACGUGAUUCAGAACAAACACCCUCGUACCCACUGGCAGGAUCAGCCAACGGUGCACCUCAGCGUACAGCUCCCAUUCAUAGCUGCAGUACUGGCAGAAGUGACCAGGGAGAAACCGGUUCCGGCAUUUUCAGCAGUCGGAGUCUCUACCUGCCCCGCGGGUGCAGUUUCGGCAACUACCAAAUCCAGAGUGGAAAGGCCCAGUUCCGCUUAUAACGUGGGGUCGAGGUUACGCGGCUGUGUCUACGCCUGACGGUCCUGUGUGGGUACCUGCUAGGUGUAUCCGGCCCUGGAAAGACGAUGUCCUGGCACGAUAAUCUUAAGAAUCCCAUCCCUAAUUUUUCUCUGCAACUUCAGGAUACUGGGAUGUCUUCCAGGAAGCGUGGUCGGAAUGUUCCGCAACCUCCCGUGACUUGGGGCCAAAUAAAGAACUUAGCAACACAAGCAGAAAAAGCAAUGGAACAAGCCGGGGUGGACAAGACAACUGAGAAUACCAUUCUUGCUUUAAUUGCGUCUUUAAAUACAAAUUCUAUUUUUGUACUUUGCAUUUGUUGGAUUUUAGGAAGCGCCGGGGCUGACAGGUUGGGGCAGGAGUUGGGGAUGCGGUUUCAACACAAUAUCUGGGUUCAGUUAGCAAGAAUGACAAAUGUGAGUGACUUUUGCAUGACUGAACAUGUACAGGAAAUGGGUAUGUUGGGAACAUGUUUAAUACCCGUAUGCAAAGCACCUGGGGAUAUUGGGAACAUUACAGGACUUGGGCGGUUCAUGAAUACUUCAGAGAUUAAAUAUCAUACUGUUUCGAAUUGGGGAACUCCAACCUUCCAGCUGCCUGUUAAUGCUUUUCAAUUAUUUACAUCACAUGUUGCAAAUUCCAUUAAUAAUACGUG